GAAACCGAGAGGAGAAAAGAAAGGAGAAGAAGUCGUCGCGAUUUCUGCUGUUGUUCCGCUGCCGUCCGUCGCCGCCCUCCCUGGCCGUUGUCCCUCGCUGCCGUCUGCCACUUUAGGAUAGAUUAAUUAAUUAUUAUGAAAUGGAAUUACUACUUAUCUGGGGAGAUGGAGGUUUAAGUUAAAUUGAAAAGAGAUUGAAUUACAAGCUAAACUUCAAGAAGCUUUGGAACGGAUUGAAGUACAAGAUAGAAAUCACCAAGCAUUAGCUUCACAAGUGGAAAGUAUGAAAAAGAUGAUAGAAGAAUUUACUCGUGCACAACAGGGACUACCACAUGAUCCCUAACUCUGCGGACCGAAGGUGUAGAAUGACGCGCAUACGAACCUCGUUGGAAGACUUUUUCUUAUGUUUAUGUUUUUUCUAUUUUGAGAACUAUAUUUAUUGUAGUGAACUUAUUCGUAUUAUUAAUUUUAAUUCUAUUUUUU